rnacentral:misc_RNA from 1 species
AAUCGCAUUGCGAGUGGCAGCCAUGAGAAUUACCCUGCAUAGAUAACUGGUAUGGCCUUCUUUUGCAGGGUAGAGAAUAGGUAUAAUUGGCAACUCAUACUCUGAUCAGUUAAAUAAUAUUUCGUCACCAUCUCCUCUCCUGGGCCAUGGUUGGCCAGAAGCAGAAGUUGAAACAGAGUUGCAGAAAUUCAAUAGCUUGUCUAUGCUCUAGUUUGGUGAAUACAACUGGUGAGGGAAAUACCCUUGCAUCCAUGAAACUCAUUGAUAAAAAAGGGCCAUGCACAGUCUUCAGCUCCUGCAUAAACUCAUUUAAAUAUUGUAAUUCUCUGCCAAGGCAACCAUAAUGACGAGCAAUGGUAGGCAUGCAACACUUGCAUAAACUCAUUUUUUUGACACAUGAACCAACAUAUUAAUAUAUAUAGAAGCUGUCAGGGAAUCAGGAUGAAAUUGCAUGUAGGAUUUCAAUCGUCUUUAAUGCCCACGCGCAAUUGGAUAACCUAAGAAUCAUGAAAUUAGCAAAUUCGAGACACAAAUAAGCUAUAUAAGCUUCAUAAAGAUCAUAUUAGAUUCUCAAUUGAGUAAAGGUAAUUAAAUAGGAAAAUAAAACACAAGAUAUACAUACAUGGCCUUUCCAGGGGAAAAGGAAAGAAGAGCUGUACGAAAUUAUAAUAAACCAGCAAAACAAAGCUGUAAAUCCUGAUUGGGAUAGGUUUUCCCAAUUCCCACACAAGAACCUACAAAAAAAUUCUCUCGAAAGAAGUGCACAAAAAAUGAUUGAACAUAAAAAAGUUUAAAAUUACUUCAAUUAAAUUGUGAAAUGGAAAAGCCAGUUUCGUACGAAGCUCGUCAUCUCUUCCAGCUUCGACUUCUUGAGAAUGGAUCUCCCAUUCCACCAACAACCCAUGUUUCUUUUGCUAUAUCAGAUGAAAUUUUGCGGAAUUCGGUGUCAUAUCUCAUCACCACCAAGCUCUCUUUCUUGGUAUUUCUUUUUUCUUCUUCCAUUAAGGCCUCUAAACUCUUUCCUUUCUUAUCUUCUGUUUUCCUAUUCUCUUCUUGUUCUUCUGCUUCUUCCUCCUCGUCGUCGUC